AGUCCAUCCAAUUAACUUGCUUAUCUGAAUGUGUUUCUGCAGAAAAUUUAGAAACAUCUGGCAAUAGUGAUGGCAUUUUAUGAGACAUAGGACAACUGGGAAUGGUGGUAUAC
rnacentral:snoRNA from 1 species